UACGAAGGGGGCUAGCGUUGCUCGGAAUCACUGGGCGUAAAGCGCACGUAGGCGGCUUCUUAAGUCAGGGGUGAAAUCCUGGAGCUCAACUCCAGAACUGCCUUUGAUACUGAGGAGCUUGAGUCCGGGAGAGGUGAGUGGAAUUCCCGGUGUAGCGGUGAAAUGCGCAGAUAUCGGGAAGAACACCCGUGGCUAAGGCGGCUCUCUAGUACGGUACUGACGCUGAGACGCGAAAGCGUGGGGAGCGAACAGG
rnacentral:rRNA from 1 species